AAAAAAAAUUAAAAAAAAAAAAAAAUUAAAAAAGUAUUAAUAAAAAUAUUAAAAAAAAAAAUAAUUCAAGAAAAAAAAAAUUAUAAAAAAAAAUAAAUAAAUAAGUAAAUAAAUAUCAAAAUCAUUGCCAAGGCGAGCAAUUUGUUUUUACAGUUAAAAAUACUUUACAGUUAAAAAUACGCAUUUUAUUUAAAGAAAAUUGUGGUAAAAUUGGCAGCUUGUGGUGUUGUUUUGUGAAAUUUGUGGUGAAUUCAACGAUAAAUAGUAAUAAAAUAUUUUUUAGAUGGAAAAAACCAGGCAAAGUAAUUUUAUUUUCUUUUAUUACUUUUUAAACUACUUUUCGAUGCCGACUUAGCAAUGAAUCUAUAAAUUUGAUCAAUUUAGAGAUUCUCUACUCUUUUAUAGAAAAAACACAGAAACUUCAAAAUUAAUGUAGAAAGUUUAUUAUCAUUCGAUAGAACAUUCUUUGGCAUUUGUUUUUUGUAGAUUAUCUCUAUUAAAUGUUGAACUCUCAGAUGGUGCAUCUGUUGAGUCCAAUUUUCGAUGACUCGUUCGAGCAUUUCGAUUGGUAACUGGCGAACGACACACGUGAUGUUUUGCUCCAAGGCCUGAACCGAAGCGGGAUUGUCCGCAUAGACUUUAGACUCUACAUAUUCCCACAAAAAAGUCUAACUGUGUAAGUUCACACUAUUUUAGUGGCCAGUCGACCGGUCCAAAAUGUGAAAUUAUCUGCUCAUCGAAGUGUUCUGUUAAUAAAUCCAUUUAUUGAUGCGAUGUGUGGGAAGUGGCGCCGUCUUGUUGAAACCAAAUGUCGCCGAGAUCAUGACCUUCAAUUUCAGGCAUCAAGAUAACGGUCGCUAUUGACGGUUUCGUUCUCACCGGUAUCAUUUUUGAAGAAAUAUGGACCGAUGAUUCCACCGGCUCACAAACCACACCAAACCCUUGUUUUUUCUGGAUAAAAUGGCAGCUCUUGAAUCUCUUCAGGUUGCUCUUCGUCCUAAAUGCGGCCCGUUCGCAUACCCAUUAAGCCAGAAAUGGGUUUCAUUGCUGAACUAAAACGUCGGAUCGCCUUGGAACUUUUCAAGAGCCCCUAGAGCGAAGCGAUGUCGCCUGGGAAAGUCGAGCGCCUUCAAUUCUUGCAAAAGCUGUAUUUUGUACGCUUUCAAUUUAAGAUCUGGACGUAAAAUGCGCCAAGUCGUUUCAUCCGUCAGUCUGAGUUGCUUGGAACGGCGCCGAAUCAACUUUCCACAGUCUUCGUAUACACUCUCAGCUACGGCUGUUAUAUUUUUUCACUACGUGCUGGACGUUUGAAGUACUUCUACUUGGAUCAGAUAGAGAUUGGGGAGAGAUAGUUCGCCUUCUCACUUUCAUGCUUUUUUGGCCACUCAGCGGACACUUGGUCUAAGACCGGAAGUUGUGAGCUGCUUGAGCCAUAUGUAAAAUAAACGUUGCUGGUCACUCCUAAGUGAAUGACGCAAAGAGAACUUGCCUCACUUGCGUGAACUUCUACACAUGGCUCCAGCCGCCCUUCCUUAAAGACUAGACUAGUAGAAAACUAUAGUUUUUAGUACAAAGUGAAUACAGCAAAAAACUAAUAUAAAGCCCAUAGAACACGCGACUUGAUUUAUAUCCAAGCAUCAGAGCGCUAUUAUUCCGAAUUCUUUAUACACCUUAUUCCUGCUCGCUGUGCUUCCCUGCUUGCGUAUAAGCUUGUAGUCUGGAAUGCCCUAAAAUAUUAGUUUUAUGAUGCUUGGUUUCUUUAUCUAGCAGAACUUCGCGUUAUUUGCUCCCCUUCCCCUCAUCAUGCUGCCACAAACGCAGGUCUAAUGAAAUCCGCCACUUUGAGAGUCUCCGCUACUUUAUUUGCAUUAUUUUUUAUAAUUCCGAUUCUUUGUUUAUAUUUUUCUGUCUGCUCUUCUAGGUCUGUAUACAACUAUUAAUGAGUAUGCAAACUGAUACACACUCCAGUGCUCUAACGGUGGUUGGUUGUAUGCCACAACUGGCGUCCUGCAGUCGUUACUUACAACUCCGUUAGCUCCAAGCGCGCUCUCUCUCCGCAAUCUAUUACAAUUUUUUGCGACUCCGUCUUAAAGCCAACGAAUGAAGUCGCACAAACUACCGCAAACACACACAAACAGGGAACUACUUCACUAAACCGCACGGCUUGCCCUCGAGCGAACGCCUGACAGUCGGUUAGUUUGCCUUCCGGUUCUUGGCGCUGCUUCAAGCUUUCUCUUUUCCUCUGGCGUUUCGCUUGUUUUUGUUGGUGGGCACAACAACACAAUGCGUUCAUUUCUAUAAUGAUUAGACCGGUUUGCUGCGUGCAACAGACUGUGAAGCAUUUCAUUCGCGACCUUUUCAGCCGCGCUGCAAUGGAAAUCGGUUUCAGAGUUCAAAUUUUUCCUUUUGUUCUUGUUUAAUUCAAGCUUUUAUCUAAAGAAGGAAUUUAAAACUUUCUUACAGCCCUUCUCAAACCCAACGAACCCUUUUGUAUUUACAAAAAUACAAAAAUUUCUCUGCGCCCAGUUCGCCGCCAUUAUCCGCGUCCCGCAUUUCUGCUUCUAUUUCUUUUGUGUUUUUGUUCGAAUUUUCCUCAGAAGCAUUUCGCUCAUUUUCGUCGCUGGCUGUUGGCUGUUGCUUGUUGGCGCCGCUUUCAAUAGUGUCUGAGGUCGUGAACCGUCGACCGCCGACCGUCGACCGUCGACCGCUGUUGUUGUAUGCAUUAAUUUGCUUUGGUUUUGGUUGUUGUGGUUAUUGUGCAAAAUCCAUGCGUCAUGGCGCAUUCGGCGAACCUUUUUUGCUCUUUCAAACACACGCACACACAAACAGUCAUUACUGUGCUUAAACGCUGCGAGUGUGCAUGUUGCAGUGGAUUUCUCAUGUGACUCAGUGAACAAAGGAUGUGUGGUUUAUCUGCUCAUAUUUAUGUAUAUCAACUCGCGUGUGUGUGUGUGUGUGUUCAACCUGAUGUUUGCCUGAGUUUUCCCGAUUAAAUUCAAACCGCGGAAUAUUCAUAUUUGCGCUGUGCUCAUAUGUAUGUGUGUGUGU